CUCCUAUGUCUCUUAACUGAUGCUGUCUUUUUCCACCUUUACUCUAACCAGCCCAAUCCAUCCUGUAGAUGAUCUGUCUUCCAAGGAAGUUCCAUCUGUUCUGCUGUCUUUCCAGAGGAGGAGGGGGGAUGUGCUGCCUGGGCAGAGCAGAGAAACACUGCAGGAGUAAAGGACAAGUGUUCCCUGUGCCUGUGAAGAGCUUAGAGCUCUUUCACAAGGGAGGAAGGAGUGGCUGAGGCCAUGUCUUUUCCUAUGCUCAAUACAGAAAGUAAGUUCUCUUUUACUGUUACAACCUGAGUCCUAAAAGACAAGGCUGGACUAGCCCAGCCUCAGCUAUUAGAUGCAAUUAUGACGCAAACAUAAGCUCCAGAAGCGCCUGCAUUUCAUGGAAGACAUUAUUUUACCUUUGCAAAUCUCUAUGAAGAGAAACAUGGGAUAAAUAACAAAAGAGCAUUAGUGGAUCCAAAUGGCAACCCAUGUGGCCUGCGUGGGGGCCCAUCUCUCACAGAGGGCAGCAAGAGCCCACUCUGAGAGCCAGGUUAACUCUGCCACCAGCUGCUGGCAAGGCCUGGGGUCAGGCUGGAUUCAGAUGAACUGUGAUCCCAGACCAACCUCACUGUUUUGACAGAUGUCCUUAGACUAAGUGCAGUUAAAUGGAUCAGUACAGUCAAUUUUACCUGGGGGAAGGAUGGGAUAAUAAAGAAGAGCAGAGAGAAAUGACCAGUUUCACCACAACAACUGUCCUUGUCCCAAAGGCCCCGUCCCAGUGCAAUAUCCCUCUAUCUCUUCAGCAUCCAGCUAGAAAAUUUUGCCAGUGGAAACAUGUUGGGUUUGCACUUUUGUGCAGAUAAAACUGUGAGAUAGCUGCACCAACAGAGGUAGUUUUGCCUGUACAGCACCUUUUCCCUGGGAACUGAAAUAUUUCACAUUGGCAAAGGACAUCUACUGUCAGAAGCUUCAUUUCCAUUGCUUGGGUAGCAAAACUUCAGUAACUCAGAUAAAGCAGAUAAUGAGGCCCAGAGUUUCUCACUGAAGCCAGAGAAGAUGGCGUGAUGCAUGAGAAGACAUUGCAUGGAGAUGGGAAUUUGAUAACAACCAAGAGGAGUUGUUAUCACCAUGCCAGUCAAGGCUAAGAAAAAAGGAACUUUCUGAGCAUGGCUGGGGAAAGGAGGGUCUCCCUGACCUUGGCUGCAGCGCACUCGCAGCCCAAGCAGUGCACGCCUCGCUGGAGCUCUUGCUUUGAAGAACUGUGCCUGACUUCAAGGUGAUUGUGAAUGCAGACCAUGACCCAUUUUAAACAGCUGUUGGAGUACCUGAGAGCAACAGAGCACAAGGAAAUCAGAAUAAAAGACAUUUGUUCUAAGUAUAAAUGCACAGGGCAUUUUGUGUGAGGAGACCAGACCCUUUUCCUUUACUCUCCUGCAUCUUGUAGCUUCUUUGAGAAGGCUGGUGGGAAGAGGUUAAAGGUUACCUAGAGCUGCCAGUGAGAGUGAAAAAUGGUGGAUAGUGCCCCUGUUCUUGACUGUGAGUUCCUUUAUUUUCUUUUGUCAUGGCAAUACCUUCCCAGGGAAGGACUGAAUGUUGCAAAUUAGUGUACCAACUUAUCUUUAUAAUUACCUCUUCAGGUGCAAUACUGAGCCAGCUGUUUGCAUGAACAAAAGAAACUGCUCAGUAGUGUCUGUGUAUUGGUAUCUGCCACAAACUUUUUUUAGGCUUAUCAAGUAUCUGGCUCAUUAUUAAACAAAACACUAACAGAAUUUUACCCCUUUUUCUCGGGAAGUAAAGAUCUUUUCCUGAAAACUUCAGCCUGAUACAAAUUAUUCUAGGAAGAAAUCUCAACUUAUACCAGUAUAUCUAAUUAGGAGAACAUCUGAUAAAAUCAUAUAUGUCAGCUGAGUUUGAAGAAGCAAAAAUUGGGUGCUGCUACAAAUGAGAGAGACACGGGGCUUGGGGAGGGUGAGUUCUGCCAGAGCUGUGUGAACAAGAGCUGCAGCUUUUAUUUCCCACCACAUCUUCUUGGGCACAAAGGAAAACUCCCUCUGAUGGGAAAAGAUGAUGAUUCUGGUGACCAUGCAUGAGAGAAGUCUCAGGAGAAACAUUCAAUUCUUGUGCUUAUUCAGAAAAGAAACCUUGGAAACUUGAAAUAAAUUCCCAGGAAUGCUGUUGUCUGUUGUGCUCAGGCUGCCUCCAAGUACACGAGUCUUCCUGGGAAAGAAGGUGCUGCCAUGGAAGACCCCUUCCAGGUGACAAAAGCUGUGAUGUUCUGCAAGAAUUGUCACCAACAAAGAAUUGCAGAAACUCAAAGGACAAGACAAAGAGACAAUAGACCAUUGCUCAGGACUCUGUAUUUGAGCAGGGUACUGAGCCCAUCCUGACAGAUGGUGCUCCAGCCUCUAGCCAGGACAGGGAGGUUAGGUUAACCCAAACAAGCCUGGCCUAAAUAAGCUGGUAAAUCAGGAGGGCACAUGAACCAAGGCAUGAGAGCUGAUUAAAAUCCUAUUGUGGUGGAAAAGUCUUUUACUGACUAUCAUCAAAGCCAACUGAACUCUUAUUAACAAUAUAAAUACACACAGACUAAAAUAACAUAUGUUUACAUGGGACUUGUGUCCAGACAAGAUCCUUACCAAGCUAUGCUGAAGUAUGUAAUGUGAGUUGCAGUGAGGUGAAGAGCUCAGUGCAAUGGACCAAAGGGGCUGUCUGGGGUGCAUGACUAAGUAAAAUCUGAGUGGCUGGGUAUCUGGAUCUAACUAGAAAUGUUGACUCCUUAAAAACUAGUCCUCAGGGUUUUUUUUUUUUGUGAGUCUGGCCAGUGUACAAAUUUUCAUUUUCAACACUGACUGAAAAAUCCUGUCACUAAGGAACUAUUCUCAGAAAAAAAAUGCUUGUACUGUUAUGUCAAAAUAUACCAACCAACCAACCAACCAAAACAGCUUUUAGGUAACAGAAAAAUGGAAACAUUUUUUCUGUAUUUUAUUUAUACUCCAGUGUCUAUGUCAGUUUGGUGGUCCAGAGCAGCAAAUGCAAUUCCCCUGCCCACCCCCAGUUAGUAGGAACUGUUUCACUUUGCAGAGUAGUUUUGGUGUGCACCAGUCUAAUUGCUCAUGGAGAAUGUUAAGCCAGAGCUGGCUUGGAUGCACAGCCGGUUAAGCUUCAGUCCAUAAUGGGAAAGCUGAGAGUCUGAGUCAAUGCAUGGUUCUUUGGAGAGCUUCAAAACACAUCCUUGGUGGGAACAUUUGGUUCAAGCAACCAGACCACCUUGUCCAAAGAAAAGCUCCCAAACUGCCAACAGCUCAGAUGCAGGGGUUUUGGGACCAAGUAGCUCCAGCGUACUGAUCCACCCAUGUUGCAGUAAAUAACUUUAGACACAGCCUGACUGACUCAAAAGAUGCCAAGUGUUUACUAUUCCCUAAUGAACAGUUCCAGAGCUGUGAUUCCAGCUCACAGCACAUUACUACAGCCAAAGUAUAAUAAAUAAAUCAGUGUUUAUAUGAAGUCAUAAGGAAAAAUGCAGCAGAUUAGACAUUCAUUAGAGAUUAAUUUCCAAACUAUAGACUGAACAAAGAACUGAUGUGAUACAAAAGUUUUCACUUAAACCCACAAGGUUCUG